rnacentral:lncRNA from 1 species
CCAUUUAAAAGCAGUUUCAAGCCAUUAUUUUGGAAUGUAAAUAUUAAGUACACAAAAUGUUGACUGAUAUAACUUGCUUUAAAAUAUGGUGUUGAAUUAUUAGUUUUAUAUGACAAAAGAGAAUUUGUUUUAAAUUAAAUCUCUCCUACCAUAGGAUAGGUAAUUCUCACAGCUGCUCAAGAAUGUAGUAAUUAAUAGUUUCAUUUAUUUUUGGCAAACCUGCAAA